rnacentral:rRNA from 1 species
AUUGAACGCUGGCGGCAGGCCUAACACAUGCAAGUCGAACGGAGCGGCGGACGGGUGAGUAAUGCCUAGGAAUCUGCCUGGUAGUGGGGGAUAACGUCCGGAAACGGGCGCUAAUACCGCAUACUAGCAGAUGAGCCUAGGUCGGAUUAGUUAGUUGGUGGGGUAAAGGCCUACCACGGCGACGAGCCGUAACUGGUAUGAGAGGAUGAUCAGUCACACGGGAACGGAGAAACGGUCCAGACUCCUCCGGGAGGCAGCAGUGGGGAAGAUUGGACAAUGGGCGAAAGCCUGAUCCAGCCAUGCCGCGGGUGUGAAGAAGGUCUUCGGAUUGUAAAGCACUUGAAGCUGGGAGGCGUUACCAACAGAAUAAGCACCGGCUAACUUCGUGCCAGCAGCCGCGGUAAUAC